CCCUUAGAUGUUCUGGGCCGCACGCGUGCUACACUGAGUGGAUCAGCGGGUCAGGUUGCGCGAAAGUGUUUCCUAAUCUUGAAAUCCGCUCGUGAUGGGGAUUGACGGUUGCAAUUUUCUGUCAUGAACGAGGAAUACCUUGUAAGCGCGGGUCAUCAUCCCGCGCUGAAUACGUCCCUGCCCUUUGUACACACCGCCCGUCGCUCCUACCGAUUGAGCGGUCCGGUGAGGCUUUGGGAUCUGGAUGGAAAGAGCGUUUCGCUGUUUCUGCCCGGAAAACUCAGUCGAACCUUAUCAUUUAGAGGAAGGAGAAGUCGUAACA
rnacentral:rRNA from 1 species